CUAUACCUAGGGAGGCAGCAGUGGGGAAUAUUGCACAAUGGGGGAAACCCUGAUGCAGCAACGCCGCGUGAGUGAGGAAGUAUUUCGGUAUGUAAAGCUCUAUCAGCAGGGAAUAGAAAAGAAGGUACCUGAAAAAGAAGCCCCGGCUAACUACGUGCCAGCAGCCGCGGUAAUACGCAGGGGGCAAGCGUUAUCCGGAUUUACUGGGUGUAAAGGGAGCGUAGACGGAAAGGCAAGUCAGAAGUGAAAGCCCAAGGCUCAACCAUGGGACUGCUUUUGAAACUGUCAAACUAGAGUACGGGAGA
rnacentral:rRNA from 1 species